GAAUUUUCCGCAAUGGGCGAAAGCCUGACGGAGCGACGCCGCGUGCAGGAUGAAGGUCUUCGGAUUGUAAACUGCUGUCAGGGGGGACGAAACCAAUGACGGUACCCCCAAAGGAAGCAUCGGCUAACUACGUGCCAGCAGCCGCGGUAAGACGUAGGAUGCAAGCGUUGUUCGGAUUUAUUGGGCGUAAAGCGUACGUAGGCGGUUCGCCAAGUCUGGUGUUAAAGCUAGGAGCUCAACUCCUGUGAUGCACUGGAAACUGGCGGGCUUGAGUGCGGUAGGGGAAAGUGGAAUUCCGAGUGUAGCGGUGAAAUGCGUAGAUAUUCGGAAGAACGCCAGUGGCGAAAGCGACUUUCUGGGCCGUAACUGACGCUGAGGUACGAAAGCGUGGGGAGCAAACAG
rnacentral:rRNA from 1 species